GAGAGUCUGAUGGCUCAGAACCUCCUGAAAAUACAGCCACAGACAACAACACAGCCUGGGCUGCAGAGAGACUAUCAUACAUGAUAGCCUCCCUAUCUAUCUAUAUUCAUAUGCCAAAUUGUAUUUGAGGAAUCAGUUCUAAAGCAGACGUUAAAUAAUUGAUGCUGUGAAAUCAAUCUGUAAGACGGACAUUUGAAGGCAAAACCAAUCGUCUUUCAGAUGUUCUUUUCAGUUCUUUCCAGUAAAUGUAGAGGUGAACGUCUUCCUAGAUCGGCCAAUAGACAGUCUUGGUGGCUGACCGGUAGGCGGUGCCGAUCAUUGCCAUGCCAACACCGCUCCCCAAUGGUGUCCUGAUUAACGGGGUGACGGCUGAGAUGUGCAUGCAUCAAACUGGGUUUCCCCUCAGCACUCAAACAGCACCUGGUGCACGUCUGGUCACACCUGCAGGACACACAGCCCCAGCUUUGGUCCUCCGGGAGCCUGACACUCAGUGGAGAUGAAACGCUGGUGAGUAGAGGAUCUGGCCUGCCACUCCUCCAUCCUCUCCUCCUGACAUCUGUACUCCUCUACUCUGUUGUGGCACAAAAUCAAUAACUGUCCUCUCAAUCGCCUUUCAAAAACAACUGGUCAUUUUGGAUCAGACAGUGACCCAAGCAAUGGCUGCCUCAUCUGUUCUGAUGGUAUAGAACAGUGAGGGGAUGUUCAUAGUGUUUCCAUUCCAUGUUAAAUGGGUCAAAAUAAAGCAAAAAAACGCUAAAAUGAUAUUAGAAUAGGACUGAUUUCAGGACUGUGUCAGACAUGUCACUGUCUGGGCCUUACCUGUGGAUAGGUGAUUGGUACUACUAUGAUGAUACAAUGACCAUUACGUAUUUCAGCAAUUUGAUUCCACUUGAUAACUACAGAACACAAUAGAACAUCAUACACAUUAUCUUCUCUCAUUGUCAAGUGAGAAGCCAUUGUCACUGCAGUGCUGUCUGAAGAUCCUGUUCACCAGCUAUUCUCUGGUUUCUUACCAUCCAGCACACUCAUAUCCACUUUAAUUAUGACCUGCACCAUUUAAUUCAGUUUUGGA